rnacentral:rRNA from 1 species
UACGUAGGGUGCAAGCGUUAAUCGGAAUUACUGGGCGUAAAGCGUGCGCAGGCGGUUCGGAAAGAAAGAUGUGAAAUCCCAGAGCUUAACUUUGGAACUGCAUUUUUAACUACCGGGCUAGAGUAUGUCAGAGGGGGGUAGAAUUCCACGUGUAGCAGUGAAAUGCGUAGAGAUGUGGAGGAAUACCGAUGGCGAAGGCAGCCCCCUGGGAUAAUACUGACGCUCAUGCACGAAAGCGUGGGGAGCAAACAGG